UCAACAAAUGGUAUACAUCCUUCCAAUGAUUUCAAAUUUUUUUUAACAGCAGCACGCAAAAGAGUUAUUAAAAUUCUAUUAACUACUUCAGUUUGUUCAUCAGUCUGUGGGUGACAUGUAAUAGAAAAUAGCAACUUAGUACCCAGCUUAGCCCACAAUGCUUUCCAAAAGUAGCUUGAGAACUUAACAUAUCUAUCACUAACAAUGCUCCUAGGGAUGCCAUGCAACCUCACAACUUUCCUAAAGAAUAAAUCAGCAAUAUUUGUGGCAUCAUUAGUUUUAUGGCAAGGAAUGAAAUGUGCCAUCUUAGAAAAUCUGUCCAUUACCACAAAUAUAGAAUCUUUACCUUCCCUAGACCUAGGUGACCCUAAAAGAAAGUCUAUAGACAAAUCAACCCAUGGUUAACUAGGUAUAAGCGAAGGUGUAUAUAAGUCUUGAGGUAAGACCUUAGACUUUG
rnacentral:misc_RNA from 1 species